rnacentral:rRNA from 1 species
CCUACGGGAGGCAGCAGUAGGGAAUCUUCCGCAAUGGACGCAAGUCUGACGGAGCAACGCCGCGUGAGUGACGAAGGUUUUCGGAUCGUAAAACUCUGUUGUGAGGGAAGAACACGUACCAACUAACUAUUGGUACCUUGACGGUACCUCACCAGAAAGCCACGGCUAACUACGUGCCAGCAGCCGCGGUAAUACGUAGGUGGCAAGCGUUGUCCGGAAUUAUUGGGCGUAAAGCGCGCGCAGGCGGUUCCUUAAGUCUGAUGUGAAAGCCCACGGCUCAACCGUGGAGGGUCAUUGGAAACUGGGGAACUUGAGUGCAGAAGAGGAAAGUGGAAUUCCACGUGUAGCGGUGAAAUGCGUAGAGAUGUGGAGGAACACCAGUGGCGAAGGCGACUUUCUGGUCUGUAACUGACGCUGAGGCGCGAAAGCGUG